GACGUAGGGCGCGAGCGUUGUCCGGAUUUAUUGGGCGUAAAGAGCUCGUAGGCGGUUUGUUGCGUCGGCUGUGAAAUCCCGAGGCUCAACCUCGGGUCUGCAGUCGAUACGAGCAAACUAGAGUGUUGCAGGGGAGACUGGAAUUCCUGGUGUAGCGGUGAAAUGCGCAGAUAUCGGGAGGAACACCGGUGGCGAAGGCGGGUCUCUGGGCAACAACUGACGCUGAGGAGCGAAAGCGUGGGGAGCGAACAGG
rnacentral:rRNA from 1 species